rnacentral:rRNA from 1 species
UGCCUACGGGGGGCAGCAGUGGGGAAUAUUGCACAAUGGGGGAAACCCUGAUGCAGCGACGCCGCGUGAGUGAAGAAGUAUUUCGGUAUGUAAAGCUCUAUCAGCAGGGAAGAAAAUGACGGUACCUGACCAAGAAGCCCCGGCUAACUACGUGCCAGCAGCCGCGGUAAUACGUAGGGGGCAAGCGUUAUCCGGAUUUACUGGGUGUAAAGGGCGUGUAGGCGGGCCUGUAAGUCAGAAGUGAAAUCUGGGGGCUUAACCCCCAAACUGCUUUUGAAACUGCGGGCCUUGGGUGUUG